rnacentral:rRNA from 1 species
GACGAACCGUGCUAACGUUGUUCGGAAUCACUGGGCUUAAAGGGCGCGUAGGCGGGCAGGCUAGUCAGGGGUGAAAUCCCACGGCUCAACCGUGGAAGUGCCUUUGAUACUUCCUGUCUCGAGCGAGGUAGGGGCGUGCGGAACUUCCGGUGGAGCGGUGAAAUGCGUAGAUAUCGGAAGGAACACCGGUGGCGAAAGCGGCGCGCUGGACCUCUUCUGACGCUGAGGCGCGAAAGCCAGGGGAGCAAACGGG